AGAGUUUGAUCCUGGCUCAGAUUGAACGCUGGCGGAAUGCUUUACACAUGCAAGUCGAACGGCAGCACGGGGGCAACCCUGGUGGCGAGUGGCGAACGGGUGAGUAAUACAUCGGAACGUGCCCAGUCGUGGGGGAUAACGCAGCGAAAGCUGUGCUAAUACCGCAUACGAUCUACGGAUGAAAGCGGGGGACUCGCAAGGGCCUCGCGCGAUUGGAGCGGCCGAUGGCAGAUUAGGUAGUUGGUGGGGUAAAGGCUCACCAAGCCUGCGAUCUGUAGCUGGUCUGAGAGGACGACCAGCCACACUGGGACUGAGACACGGCCCAGACUCCUACGGGAGGCAGCAGUGGGGAAUUUUGGACAAUGGGGGCAACCCUGAUCCAGCCAUGCCGCGUGAGUGAA
rnacentral:rRNA from 1 species